GUGCACACUUUGGCAGCAUUUAUACUAAAAUUGGAACUACACAGGGAAGAUCAGAAUGGCUCCUGUUUAAGGCUGGCAAAAACAAAAACAAAAAAAAAAAAACAAAA